CAGUUCGGACUGUGGUCUGNAACCCGACCACACGAAGCUGGAAUCGCUAGUAAUCGUGAAUCAGAAUGUCACGGUGAAUACGUUCCCGGGUCUUGUACACACCGCCCGUCACACCAUGGGAGUCAGCAACGCCCGAAGUCAGUGACCUAACCGAGAGGGAGGAGCUGCCGAAGGCGGGGCCGGUAACUGGGGUGAAGUCGUAACAAGGUACC
rnacentral:rRNA from 1 species